AGAAAACAUCUUGCUCUGUUGCUCAGGCUGGAGCGCAAUGGUGCCAUCGUAGCUUACUGUAACCUUGAACGUCUGUGCUCAAGCAAUCUUCCUGCCUCAGCCUCCUGAGUAGCUGGGACUACAGGUAUGCAUCAUUGGAGAGCAGUGGCACUGUCAUAGCUCACUGUGGCCUUGAAGUUCUGGGCUGAAGCAAUCCUUCUGCCUCAGCUUCCUGAGUGGCUGGGACUACAGGCAUGAACCACUACAUUCGGCUAAUUUUAAUUUUUUUUUGUAGAGACAGGGUCUUGUUCUAUUGUCCAAGCUGGUCUUGAAUUCCUGACCUCAAGCAAUCCUCCUGCCUCUGCCUCCCAAAGCACUGGGAUUAUUACAGGUAUGAGCCACCGCACUGGGCCGUCAUGCUUACUCUUCGGAGAGAGAAGUGAAGUAUCUGAACGCCUCAGCCUGAGAAUGGGUCAUUUGCAAAGUAAAUAAAGGCAAUGCCAAACGUCAGUACAACAAGCAAGGGGUGCAUUGGGAUUGUUGUGAGGAUUCAAUGGGACAGUGUAUGCAAACCACCUAAUACAAGGCACAUAGUAGGAGCUUAUUAUGGUGAUGGGGUGGCAUUGGCCACAGGGCCUUGGGCUCAGCCUGUCCCUCUGUCCCUCUGAUCUGGAUGGGUGGGUAUCCAGGGAAGUACCCCUACUUGAUAGGCCUCAAGCCCUCCCUCCUUGUGUCCAGAUCCUUUCAGCACCUGCCUCCACGUCCUGCCCCUCUGCCCUCUCUCCCUGGCAUGAUCCUGGCCUUCCAGUCACAUCCCAAAAUCACUUUGCCUGGUUUCCUUUGGGAAGCAAAGCCUGUCUGGGGCCCUCCAUAGACAGAGAAGCUGUGAAGGAGAUAAAUGCUGAAGAAGGGGUGAGGAGACAGACUCAGGGGCCAAUCAAAGUCAGGAAACAGGCUGGGUGUGGUGGCUCAUGCCUGUAAUCCCAGCACUUUGGGAGGCUGAGCCGCGGAUGACCUGAGUUCAGGAGUUCGAGACCAGCCUGGCACAGGAGAAUCACUUGAACCCAGUGAGCCGAGAUCGCUUCACUGCAGUCCAGCCUGGUGCAGUGAGCUGAGAUCAUGCCACUACACUCCAGCCUGGGUGAUAGAACGAGACUCUGCCCACCAAAAAAUAAAAAGCCAGGAAACACACAUACUCACACCCCUGCAUCCAGACUCACACCAGAGUCACCCACACCCACAUCCAGGCACACACUCACACAAGAACACACACCCGAAGAGACAGAGAGGCGCUCAUUCUUGACAAACUUAUACAGGAUUUUGCAAUCUGAAAAUUCAGAAUAAGGCUAUUUGAAUUCCAGUAUCAAUAUCAGUUUUGUGUCAUUCUGCAAAAUACUGUUUUGUUGUGAAUUGAACAGUGAGGGGCUGGGACAGUGACUGGGGGCAUCACCAUAGUCAAUGCUUAGAGCCUCAAAAGGUUGUAAUCUGGCUCUGGGGAGGAGUGAGGCUGAGCUGAGUCUCCCACGGUCUUUAGAAUGUGUCCUGGCAGGAGGACUGAGAACAGGCUGGUCAGGACUGGAGUCAGCUAAUGGACAGACAGGGACCAGAGACUGUUGCUGGGGGAAAUGCGGCUUUAUGCAAGUAUCUCGGGCUGGGCAGGGGAAUCACCCAGACUGCUUACCCCUCACUCCUCAUGCUCAUUCUUUUAGAACUGUUCCAAGGUGUUUAGGAGGUAGACUUAUUCACUUGGGAAGUCUUUCUUUGUUUUUUGUUUUUUUAGAGACAGAAUCUUGCUCUGUCACUCAGAUUGGAGCACAGUGGUGCAAUCAUAGCUCACUGCAGCCUCAAACUCCUGGGCUGACAUGAUCCUCCCACCUCAGCCUUCAGAUUAGCUGGGACUACAGGUGUGGCUGAUUAAAAAUUUUCUUUUUUUGUAGAGACAGGGUUUCACUAUAUUGCUCAGCCUGGUCUUAAACUUCUGGGCUCAAGUGAUCUUUCCAUCUCGGCCUCCCAAAGCACUGGGAUUACAGAUGUGAGCCACCAGCACACCCGGCCAUCAUUUGGGAAUUCUUGCUGGUGGUUAUUAAAUCUGCUAAUGUCCUUAGUUUCUUCUACUAACAUUCAGAGCAUUCUAGUUUCUGGGAGAGUAAGUAGAAACCACCGGAUAUACAAUUGCAUUAGUCAGGAUUACUGUUACUAGUUGCUGCAACUAAAUAGCCUUAAAUCACCACUGGUUUACACAACACAGGCUUAUUCCUUGCUCAUGCUGCAUCUCCAGUGAGAGCCAACAGGAGUGUCUCUCUGCUCCAUAUAGUCACUCAGGGCCCCAGGCUAGAGGAGACAUUACAGAAGACAUGUUGUCUUUGAGAUCUCUAUGGAAGGAAGAGAGGAAUGGAUGAGGCAUGCUGGCCUUAACUGCCUUGACCCCUGCUCAUAACCCUAAACCUAGCCUGAAUCCUAGCCGUAGCCAUCACUUAACCCUAACUUAACUCUAGUCCUAUCCCUAACCCUACCCCUAAAUCAAAUCCUAAUCCUAAAAACAGCCCUAGCUUCAAUCCUAACUCUACCAUAAGCCCUACUCUAGCCCUAAACCUAAUGCUAAAUCUAAGUGAGGUUUGCAAAAUGAACCCGGUGAAGCUGAUACUAAACUUUCCUCUUUUAUUCUGUUGCACUCAGGCCAAAUGAGUCUUGAGGAGUUGGGAAAAGUGAAACUCCGCCUAAAAAAAAAAAAGAUAGAUACGCUGUUUUUUUCUUUUUUUUUCCACACUAGAGUUUUAUACUCUUCUCACAUAGUUUUGUUCUUUUCAGUAAAAGUAAUUCAUUAAAUCUAAACCUAGCUGUGAUGGUUUCUUGUUUCUUUGCAGGAUGUAUUUUGUUUUGCUUGUUAAACAAGUAACUCUACAAAUCGGAAAACGUGCCUUGUCAGUAUACCCCAGGUAUGGAGUUUUCGUUGAUCAAAUAUGGUCCCUGGAGGUCUGUUUAGGGACCAGGCAGGGUUUUUUUUCUAGCACUUUGUAGGAGCAAAGAACCAAGGCCAGGGCUGGGCGCGGUGGCUCACACUUGUAAUCCCAACACUUCAAUGGGAAGACCACUUGAAGCCAGGAGUUUGAGACCAGACUGGACAACAUAGCAAGACCUCAUCUCUACAAAGAAAUUAAAAAUAAUUUGUCAGGGCCAGGUGCAGUGGCUCACGCCUGUAAUCCCAGUACUUUGGGAGGCAUUCAUGCAGAGCUGGCUGUGUGGGAGACUGGAGUUCUAUUAUUACUCAAAGCAGUCCCCUGGAG
rnacentral:lncRNA from 1 species